CCCCAUUUACGGCUGUUGUUUGCUCUUUAACAUGUGUGUGUGUGCGCGCGUGUUUAUUUCUCUGCGGCGCAGCACGCGCUGAGCGCCACACCACGCCCCACGACCGACCCUGUCUCAAGCUCUACUCCCCCACCCCACACAGCCGCCCCCCAAUCAUGCCGGUCGCCACGCCUGGUGCAUCCCCCCUCCCCUCUCCCUCGGGGUGGCACGCAGGCUCCUCCCCACACAUCAGUGGGCCGUGUGAGGCAUACGCUCGAGUCACCCUGACACGUGUUGCCCAUCGUAUGGAUGGCGCAGACGUGUUCACUGUCGUCGGCCGUCCCGACGCACCGCCAGAGGUGGGUUCUGCAUUGGCAGAGGUAGAAGGGGGGGGCUGUUUGGCCUCCCUAACAGAGAGAGAGUGGCGGGUUGUGUGGGUGCACGAGGCCCUGAGACACCACGCUCUGAGAGGUGUGCGUAUGUGUGCCCUCCCGUCACCAGAGGGGGAGACGCGAUGAGGAGCACAGCGGAACAUACCGUCGCGCACUCACCCAACGACGUGCGCCGUCGAACUGUGGGGUGGAUGAGGCGCUGCUGCGUGUGGUGCGGCUGCGCGAGCAGCUGCGGGGAGCUGCGCCCGGUGGUGCGCUACCGCCUGCGCAUGCGGUGCUCGCCGGCGGACUGCUGCGCAUCGGUGUGCGAGAUAGGGUGGACAGGGAAGUGCUGCGGCUGCAGGAGCCCGUCUUCUUCGACGACGUUGUCGAGCGGCACCUGAGCGGCACCCCGGCUACUGCAGAGAGUCUCAGGCGUGGCGAGCGGGCCGGCGACUCGCGGGAUUCUGCGAGCCCCAGAGGCCACAAUGCAGGCGGCCGUGCCUGUAGCAAGGGGAAAAGGAGCGCAACAGCGAUGAUAGCGACGGUGUUGCCAGGGAGGAGCGCAGCGCAAAUCGACGCCUCGGUCGCUACGGGCUCGGAUUUCUGGCAGACUGGCAUCGCCUGAACGUCGCGCUGACGCGUGCGCAGGAUUUGUGCAUGUGUUUUGCGAGCCGCGACACCGUGCGUGCCGUGGGCAUGGCGGCCAUGGCGUCUGCGGCGCCGGCAAAUGCAGUGACCACGGUGGAUAGCUCGGCGGAGGAAGUGGAGCACCAGCUAGAUGCGGACGAUGAGGACCCCCUGGCGCUGUAUCGCAUGCUGCAGUUGCAUCAGCAUCAGCGGCUUACCUUGUUUCGAGUGAGGAGAUGCAGCGGGUGAAGAAGUGAACGUUGCGCGCGAGGUGUGCCGCCCACGUCUUGAACGGAUGCGUCCGCCGCAUUCUGCGCGUGUGCGAGUACGUGUCUCUGUGUAAUCCCUUCGCCUCUCUCUAAUGGCGGAUGUGUGCUGAUGCGUGUGCGAGGCCCUCCCUUCAACGGCAUCCGUCAGCAGAUGGAGUGGGGGACGGCCCCCCCCGCUCGGUCUCGCCCACCGUCACCGCUACAGAAACGAAGAACCAGACAGCAUACAAGCAUGCACAUGUGUGUAUAUGUGCGCUCCUCGCCGCACCGCACCGCACCCCCUCUCUCACUCUUACAUGGGUCUGCCCUCUGGUAGCCACGCACGUGCGUGCGUAGUUGUCAGGCUUCCCCGCGCUCGUCCGGGAGACUGUCGAAGCGCGUAUGGGGGGCGCCGUCUCUCCAUCUCUGCGUCUCCUCCGCGCCACGCCCCUCGCCAUUCCUCUCCUCUCACCCGUCUUCUUCGCCGCCCCCGCAG
rnacentral:misc_RNA from 1 species